UACGUAGGGGGCUAGCGUUGUCCGGAAUCAUUGGGCGUAAAGCGCGCGUAGGCGGCCCGGUAAGUCCGCUGUAAAAGUCCAGGGCUCAACCCUGGAACGCCGGUGGAUACUGUCGGGCUAGAGUCCGGAAGAGGCGAGUGGAAUUCCUGGUGUAGCGGUGGAAUGCGCAGAUAUCGAGAGGAACACCUGCGGCGAAGGCGGGUUGCUGGGCUGAUACUGACGCUGAGGCGCGAAAGCCAGGGGAGCGAACGGG
rnacentral:rRNA from 1 species